UACAGAGGGUGCAAGCGUUAAUCGGAAUUACUGGGCGUAAAGCGUGCGUAGACGGUCAUGUAAGUCGGGUGUGAAAGCCCCGGGCUCAACCUGGGAAUUGCAUUCGAGACUGCAUGGCUAGGAUGCGGAAGAGGGAAGCGGAAUUUCCGGUGUAGCGGUGAAAUGCGUAGAUAUCGGAAGGAACACCAGUGGCGAAGGCAAUCCCCUGGACCUGUACUGACGCUCAUGCACGAAAGCGUGGGGAGCAAACAGGAUUAGAACCUACCGUCG
rnacentral:rRNA from 1 species